CCUACGGGAGGCUGCAGUGGGGAAUAUUGGACAAUGGGCGAAAGCCUGAUCCAGCCAUGCCGCGUGUGUGAAGAAGGCCUUCGGGUUGUAAAGCACUUUCAGUGGGGAAGAAAGCCUUGGGGCUAAUACCCUCGAGGAAGGACAUCACCCACAGAAGAAGCACCGGCUAACUCCGUGCCAGCAGCCGCGGUAAUACGGAGGGUGCGAGCGUUAAUCGGAAUUACUGGGCGUAAAGCGCGCGUAGGCGGUCUGAUAAGCCGGUUGUGAAAGCCCCGGGCUCAACCUGGGAACGGCAUCCGGAACUGGCAGGCUAGGGGGCAGGAGAGGAAGGUAGAAUUCCCGGUGUAGCGGUGAAAUGCGUAGAGAUCGGGAGGAAUACCAGUGGCGAAGGCGGCCUUCUGGACUGACACUGACGCUGAGGUGCGAAAGCGUGGGUAGCAAACAGGAUUAGAUACCCCAGUAGUC
rnacentral:rRNA from 1 species